UGUUCAAAUGAAGUCUUCAGAGUAUUUUCCACAUGUUGUAUCGUUUAAUUUGUUACGCAGGUCCUAUGAUUCUCAUAUUAGUUGGCGGCUUAAUUAAUCUAAGAAUGCUUGACAUCAACUGUAAGAAUUCAAAAAAUGUAAUCGCUCAAAGUUGUUCUAUCAGUGUGCCAUUUGGUUGAUUUUUCCGGAAACAUCUCAAAGAAAUAUUUUCAGACUCUUUUCUCACUGAGAUGCAUUAAAAUCAAACAAAUUUCAGGUAGAAGUUCCACUUUCGAUCUUUGAUGCAUUCGUCACGGUACUAAAUAAUCUACCGGAAAUCCAGAAGAGAACAGAUCAAAUUAAUUUAUCCCAGUGUCGAAGAGUCACGAAACUAUCGUCGACGUUAAAGUGAAGACUUUCUUUAUUAUUUUACUAUGAAUUUUAAAGACAAAGGCAUUUAGUCACAAUUAGUCCCAAUUAUCCGUAAGUUUCGGAGGAAAGUAGCAAAGAGCCUGUCUCACUAAUUUUUCUGUCCUGGUGAGGCGAUUGAGCUAAUAUUUCCUUUAUAUCCUGUAUCGUAGGCAAUAUGACGUUCACUCGUAUCCUCUUCAAUAUCUGAAUACUCUUAACACAAUAGUUGAUUCAUAACUAACAAGCACAGCUUGUUGACAUCCAUAAAGAUUAAAAUGUAGAUGUAUAGACAAACUGGGGAUAUUGCAGCCAAACCUUCUGUUGUUGCGUUACUUGUGAUCCUAACUUCAAAAAAAUGCCUUGAAUGACGACAUCAUUAAAAUAAUUAAAACAAGAUAAAAAUAACUUCCCUAAAUUACAAAGACGUGCGUAUGGAAAGCGGCUUACUUGAACAUUUUACCCGCGAUUUUCUUUGAAUUCAUGUCUCUUUCGUCCAGGUGAACUUUGUGCAGUGACGAAAGGAUUAUAGGAGCAAUUUCCGAAGUUGCCGUAUCGAGUUUCCGCAUGAUUAUUAAGUGGGGUCUGGAACCAAAGCUUUUUACGUUCGCGUGAUACACGGCGCCGUGCCGCAAAUUCCGUAAUUGUUUGCGAGAAAAAGGUCCUUGGAAUCUACUGCGAAGACAGAAGGUUCAUUCUGUCGGCUUUGCGAGGGAAUUCCACGAUGGAUGCUUGGAAAAGCGUUGGAGUGAAUUUCUUUCUCUUUUCAGUAUUUCUGAUGCAGACACCUGUCCUAGGCACAACAACCAUUGCGGUAUUCACGACUGCAUCUCCGCAAAAUUCAGCAACUUCAUCUGCAUUUGGUACUGCAACGGUAGCAGCUUCAACAAGCUUAACCUCACCUUCUCUAA